rnacentral:rRNA from 1 species
GUAGGGAAUCUUCCACAAUGGACGAAAGUCUGAUGGAGCAACGCCGCGUGAGUGAAGAAGGUCUUCGGAUCGUAAAACUCUGUUGUUAGAGAAGAACGUGCAUGAUAGUAACUGAUCAUGUAAUGACGGUAUCUAACCAGAAAGCCACGGCUAACUACGUGCCAGCAGCCGCGGUAAUACGUAGGUGGCAAGCGUUGUCCGGAUUUAUUGGGCGUAAAGGGAACGCAGGCGGUUUUUUAAGUGUGAUGUGAAAGCCUUCGGCUUAACCGAAGAAAAGCAUUGGAAACUGGAAGACUUGAGUGCAGAAGAGGAGGGUGGAAUUCCAUGUGUAGCGGUGAAAUGCGUAGAUAUAUGGAGGAACACCAGUGGCGAAAGCGGCUCUCUGGUCUGUAACUGACGCUGAGGUUCGAAAGCGUGGGUAGCAAACAGGAUUAGAAACCCUGGUAGUCC